rnacentral:rRNA from 1 species
AAAUGAAUAGACGGGGACCCGCACAACCGGUGGAGCGUGUGGUUCAAUUCGAGACAAAACGAAGAACCUCACCAGGGCUUGACAUGUAAUCGUUUAUUCCUCUGGAAACAGAGGGAAAUCCGUAAGGAUGAUUACACAGGUGCUGCAUGGCUGUCGUCAGCUCGUGCCGUGAGGUGUUCCCUUAAGUGGGGAAACGAGCGCAACCCCCAUCCAAUGUUAAAUAUUCAUUGGAGACGGUCCCAUUUUUUGGGAAGGAAGGAGGGGAAGACGUCAAGUCAGCACGGCCCUUACGCCCUGGGCUACACACACACUACAAUGGCGAAAAACAACGGGUUGCAAUACUGCAAAGUAAAGCUAAUCUCUCAAAUUUCGCCUCAGUUCAGAUUGGGGGCUGAAAUUCGCCCCCAUGAAGUCGGAAUCGGUAGUAAUCGCAGAUCAGCAAGCUGCGGUGAAUACGUUCUCGGGUCUUGUACACACCGCCCGU